AGUGAACGCUGGCGGUAGGCCUAACACAUGCAAGUCGAACGGCAGCACAGUAAGAGCUUGCUCUUACGGGUGGCGAGUGGCGGACGGGUGAGGAAUACAUCGGAAUCUACUUUUUCGUGGGGGAUAACGUAGGGAAACUUACGCUAAUACCGCAUACGGCCUACGGGUGAAAGCAGGGGACCUUCGGACCUUGCGCGAUUGAAUGAGCCGAUGUCGGAUUAGCUAGUUGGCGGGGUAAAGGCCCACCAAGGCGACGAUCCGUAGCUGGUCUGAGAGGAUGAUCAGCCACACUGGAACUGAGACACGGUCCAGACUCCUACGGGAGGCAGCAGUGGGGAAUAUUGGACAAAGGGCGCAAGCCUGAUCCAGCCAUACCGCGUGGGUGAAGAAGGCCUUCGGGUUGUAAAGCCCUUUUGUUGGGAAAGAAAAGCAGCAGGUUAAUACCCCGCUGUUCUGACGGUACCCAAAGAAUAAGCACCGGCUAACUUCGUG
rnacentral:rRNA from 1 species